GACGAACGCUGGCGGCGUGCUUAACACAUGCAAGUCGAACGGAAAGGCCCUGCUUUUGUGGGGUGCUCGAGUGGCGAACGGGUGAGUAACACGUGAGUAACCUGCCCUUGACUUUGGGAUAACUUCAGGAAACUGGGGCUAAUACCGGAUAGGAGCUCCUGCUGCAUGGUGGGGGUUGGAAAGUUUCGGCGGUUGGGGAUGGACUCGCGGCUUAUCAGCUUGUUGGUGGGGUAGUGGCUUACCAAGGCUUUGACGGGUAGCCGGCCUGAGAGGGUGACCGGCCACAUGGGGACUGAGAUACGGCCCAGACUCCUACGGGAGGCAGAAGUGGGGAAUAUUGCACAAUGGGCGGAAGCCUGAUGCAGAAACGCCGCGUGCGGGAUGACGGCCUUCGGGUUGUAAACCGCUUUCGCCUGGGACGAAGCGUGAGUGACGGUAAUGGGUAAAGAAGCACCGGCGAACUACG
rnacentral:rRNA from 1 species